rnacentral:lncRNA from 1 species
AAUGGCUUCGCGGAUUUGUUGGAAACGAAGGUCUUUGUCCUUUUUUGUUUUUUUACAUUGAAUUUGAAUACGGGAGAGGGCCAAGGGCCCGAAAUGGGAUUGGAGAGGCGCUUCCAAAAGACACCAUACCAUCUCAGCUCUCUAUAUAAAGCUGGCGAUAGCCUUUUCUAAAAAAAAAGAGAGGAUGGCAGGGGGAUUAGCCGUGAUUAUAGCCCACAUGUUGGCACCUCCGAUUAUUUCAGGAGCGCUUGAGAGAAAGUUACAUCCACUGAUUUUCUCAUUCAAAUUGGCUGU